AUGGAUGCAUUUGAGGGCCCCUCUUGCAGAAUGAAUGAAUGUGGAGAAUCUUGGAAGAUAUGGCUCCAAAUUUUUUCCAAAUUCAUUCUGUUCCCAUCUAUCCUUGCAGAGGAUUUAGAUGAUCAAGCACCAUACAGCAAUGAUUUCCGAAGCAUAUUUCUUAGUAGUCUUUUUUCUUUCUUGGGUAACACGAUCUGCUGUGCCUGCGUGCUUGUUGGCUUCCUGUGGCAAAUGGCGAUAGUGGAGUUCGGCCGCAUGGAAACGAGAGGCUGCGGGAGGGGUCUGCAAUGCGAACUGGGGGUUCUGGACACAGUUCGGCAUGUGCUGCACAUACUUGGUGUGCUUGGCCAGAGCUCGCCUGGCUUUUUGAGCCUGGGAGGUCACCUGCUGGUGGCUCAGCCUCGGUGCACCCCGACACGGCUCCCGAGGCCGGUGCCAGCAGCGCCUGCGGCUGCUGGGGACCCCCCGAGCCCCGGCUGCUGCCCCCGGAGCGGAGCACCCCGAGCGCUCGGAUGUACCAGCGAAGCUGGCGUCAGCACCAAGCCUUCCUCUGGGCUGGCCAGUCCUGUCUCCGGAGGUGUGGAACAGCAAUUUUACGUGGUGAUGAAAAAAGGCAGGCACAAUGUUGAACAAACCUGAUUACAGUGGCAUAAGGACCUUUGCAAGAAGGGAAAUACUUGGUGAAGAAAGAAGGCAUCCUGAAUCCGACAUGCAGGGCGUAAAAACCCGCCGGUGACUGGAAAUGACUUGCUGUUGCCUCUCCUGGAAGGGAUGAGAAGACAGAGGAUUGGAAAGUCUGGAUAUCAUUUGCCUAGACCACCGAAGUUAGGGAGGAAAGAGAGAGAAUUAGCGGAAUGUCAAGUGACUUUCUGCUCAUGAGACAGGCACAGUCCAGGUUCACCGUGACUCUCUCACCACCACCACGGUGACCCCUGCACACAUCUCUGCUUUUGCUACAGAUCCUGAAACCGUGUAGCUGACUCAGCGGGGAGCGAAUCUCCCCAAGUUCUCAAUGUUUAACCUGUUCCUGUGCUGAUUACGACGUAGGAAACCCUGUGUUGUCCCAGGCAUCACCCAUUUGCUUCAUGGGGGAAGGGAAAUAAAGCAGCGUUUGUUUGCACUAAGGGAUUAAAACGCUUCUAUUUAGUACGCUAGCUGCCCUGCAUUGCUGAAAUCCUACCGAAGCACACCUGUAACCUGAAAUUCGCACUGUUUGCCCACCAGGUCUGUUUGCAUAGUGCUCUCCCUGUUGUUACCCGGCUGGAUCCCGCCCCUGCUCCGCGUGGCGCAGCACUGCGGCCCUCGAUCCGCUGCACCGAGGUGUUAGGGUGUGCGAGGGGGGGUCGGGUAUUUGGUGGCUUGUGGUAGAAGCCCAGAGCGUAUGUUCCCGUGAUCCCUUCUUGACCCUCCUCUGCCGAAGCACCUCCAACAGUUUGUGCUGCUAGCGUUGCUCCCCGUGCCACCCAGGGACGCCACUUCGGCUGUCCCCCACCUGUGCGGCUGUCCGGUAUCUUUCCUGCACCCGGGGCCGGAGCUGGCGCCCGGCAGCCCGCGGCGCUGUCCCCGCAGCCGGGGCAGCGCUCGCCCCGACCCGCACCGACUUCCAGGCCCGUGCCCGGCGGGGCGGCCCCCGGUGCCGAUCGCUGCUCUCGGGCGCCGCCGGCUCCGCGUCUCCGGGACCCCCCCGCGUUGCACAGCCAUGGGGGUCCCCGUCCCGCCGCCUGCGCCCGGCCCCGCCGUGCCCAGGCCCCCGCCGCCGGCUCCGCAGCCCUGCCCCGGCCACCCCCGGCCCGGCCCGCUCCCCGCCGCGGGGCGGCUG
ensembl:lncRNA